rnacentral:rRNA from 1 species
UGCCCAGGGCUACACACGUGCUACAAUGGGCGGGUACAAAGAGCAGCGAGCUCGCGAGAGUAAGCAAAUCUCAAAAAGCCGUCCUCAGUUCGGAUUGGAGUCUGCAACUCGACUCCAUGAAGUUGGAAUCGCUAGUAAUCGCGGAUCAGCAUGCCGCGGUGAAUACGUUCCCGGGCCUU